ACCUUCAGUGGUGUAGUGGUAGCGCUUGACUUAUUGAUAAUAAUUAAGUCCUAGGUUCGAGUCCCGGUCGGGGUA